rnacentral:rRNA from 1 species
AAUAAAUAAGACCUAAUUUUAUUAAGAACAGUAAAAAAUAGAAUAAAUUAAAGC